UGCCUACGGGAGGCAGCAGUCGGGAAUAUUGCGCAAUGGAGGAAACUCUGACGCAGUGACGCCGCGUAUAGGAAGAAGGUUUUCGGAUUGUAAACUAUUGUCGUUAGGGAAGAUAAAAGACAGUACCUAAGGAGGAAGCUCCGGCUAACUACGUGCCAGCAGCCGCGGUAAUACGUAGGGAGCAAGCGUUAUCCGGAUUUACUGGGUGUAAAGGGAGCGCAGGCGGCGUGGCAAGUCAGAUGUGAAAACCCGGGGCCCAACCCCGGGAGUGCAUUUGAAACUGCCAUGCUGGAGUGCCGGAGAGG
rnacentral:rRNA from 1 species